CUAUAGUCGACUAGCUCUGCUUAAGCUAAUGAUAUUUUCAGGUUUGUUAAUGUUUUAUGUACUCACAUGAGCAGAUCAGAAGCUAGCAAGUCAAGUGCAUGAACUGGUUGCACGUGUAAAUGGUCGAUUGGAACACUGAAAGCAACUCCUAUUCUACAUUUGGUGAAGUACAAAGCCAAGUGUGAAGCUAUGAAGUGUAUCAACAAAGAAUAGUAUAUGUAUUGUAAUAGUAGGCAGUAGUAGGUAUAUCUGGGUUGUGGUGUAGUGUAAAGAUUGUAAUAGACAAAUUUAAUGUUGGUUUGGAC